GAAGCUAUUAAAUCAAUCACAUUUGUUCAGAAUUUAAAAUGCAUUGUUGUGCAUGGAAAUUCAAUCUAAAAAUAAUUAAAAAUUACUUAAAAAAGGAAAAACUGUAUUUUCCGUGAGCAAAUUACUACGUCAGCUAGACGAUAAUUUCAAUUAGUCGUCGCAGUUAUGUUUAAGAAAUUCGUGUUUUCAACGCACAUCCUGUAUUUAUGUACACCAGUUGAACAAAUGAAGGCAUCAAAAGGGAGUUUCAAAGCAUGGGUUGAGAAGAAUGUCCCUAAGCUUCAACCAGACUACAACCCCAAUCAUGGCUAUGAGCCGUAUUGGCCUGGAGGUCACUGGCUUUAUUUGGACAAAGAACUUGGCCCAAAUGAGACCACAACCAAAACCCCCCUUGUUUGCGGAGAAGAAUGUAAUUAUUUAUAUACACGUUUGAAAGUUGGUGAGCAACUAAGAAUAUGAUACCAUAUAGAAAAUCCAUUACGCCUACUUAUAAGUCCAUGGUCAACAAUAGUAUACAGGGUUGGCAAGGUAUGUGCUAGAACGGUGGAUAACAAAGAGUACCAGCAAUGUGUGUCGAUAUUCGGUCUUUGUCUUGGUUGGUGGAACGAUCAAUUCUAUCGAGGAUUCUAUACCUUUGAUACCUGCUGCAAAUUUUUAGAUGCACAAUGCAGGACUGAAUACAGCAAACCUCCCUGAUGUUUGUGGUUGAACUGAUCUUACUCCUCUCUUUUCUACAUCCCAGACCUGCUCAAUUGGAUUGUGGUCAAGACUUCGAGCUGACCAAUCUAAACCACGCAUCCCAACUUCUUGCAUGUACGCUUCCACGCCGCCAGAAUGGUGCAGGCGAGCUUUCUCGCCCAUAAAAAUCAAAUCUACUUUAAGAGAAGUUAAUAAUACUCAUUGCAGAAGAGUGGUAAAGGGAAUGCCUCAUUCAUAUGUUAAUUUUAUCCAUCGGUCGUGGAGACUCCCUAUAAAUAAAAUACGUAUGAAAUGCUACUUGCAUUUUCGUUUUUCUGUUAUAUUGUGUGCAAAACAGUAUAAUAUUAAUUAUCUUAAUAAAU